rnacentral:rRNA from 1 species
CGUGAGCAACCUGCCUUUCAGAGGGGAAUAACGUUUGGAAACAGACGGCUAAUACCGCAUAACGCAUAGGAGUCGCAUGGCUUUUAUGCCAAAAGGAGCAAUCCGGACUGAAAGAUGGGCUCGCGUCCGAUUAGAUAGUUGGUGGGGUAACGGCCUACCAAGUCGACGAUCGGUAGCCGGACUGAGAGGUUGAACGGCCACAUGGGACUGAGACACGGCCCAGACUCCUACGGGAGGCAGCAGUGGGGGAUAUUGCACAAUGGGCGAAAGCCUGAUGCAGCAACGCCGCGUGAGGGAAGACGGUUUUCGGAUUGUAAACCUCUGUCUUUGGUGACGAAGAAAUGACGGUAGCCGAGGAGGAAGCCACGGCUAACUACGUGCCAGCCGCCGC